rnacentral:rRNA from 1 species
GCGUUGCUCGGAAUGACUGGGCGUAAAGGGCGCGUAGGCGGCUUGUACAGUCAGGCGUGAAAUUCCUGGGCUCAACCUGGGGACUGCGUUUGAGACGUAUAGGCUUGAGUGAGGAAGAGGGUCGUGGAAUUCCCAGUGUAGAGGUGAAAUUCGUAGAUAUUGGGAAGAACACCGGUGGCGAAGGCGGCGACCUGGUCCUUGACUGACGCUGAGGCGCGAAAGCGUG